rnacentral:rRNA from 1 species
UGAGCGACCUGCCGAUCAGAGGGGGAUAGCCGGCCCAACGGCCGGGUAAUACCGCAUACGCUUUCGGGACCGCAUGGUCCUGUAAGGAAACCUCAGGGGCUGAUCGAGGGGCUCGCGGCCUAUCAGCUAGUUGGCGGGGUAACGGGCCCACCAAGGCAACGACGCGUAGCCGACCUGAGAGGGUGAUCGGCCACAUUGGAACUGAGACACGGUCCAGACUCCUACGGGAGGCAG